UGUUUUUCUAUAACUUCAUUUAUCUGAUUUCCUCAUUUUAUUCUUUAAAAUAUGUUUAUAACAUCAGAAACCUGGUAUCUUACUCAAUAUCCUCCAUGUUGUUUUUGUAGUUUGGAUUAUGUUUAUAACAUCAGAAACCUGGUACCUUACUCUAUAUCCUCCAUGUUAAUAGCGAUGGAUUAUCGCCUGGCAUAGCAGUUUUAUGUCUCCUUCAAUUUCACCAUUGUGCGGG